UACGUAGGGUGCAAGCGUUGUUCGGAAUCAUUGGGCGUAAAGGGCGUGUAGGCGGUUUGUUAAGUCAUGUGUGAAAUCCCUCGGCUCAACCGGGGAACGACGCAUGAAACUGACAGCUAGAGUACCAAAGAGGGGGUGGAAUUCCCGGUGUAGCGGUGGAAAUGCGUAGAUAUCGGGAGGAACACCUGUGGCGAAGGCGACCCCCUGGUUGGAUACUGACGCUGAGACGCGAAAGCGUGGGGAGCAA
rnacentral:rRNA from 1 species